CCCGCCACACACACACACACACACACACACACACACACUCGCUGGUCGCGGGCAGAGCGCUGAGAGCAGCGUCGGGAGCCAGCCCUUGGCAGCGCCGCCGCCGCCGCCGCCGCGCUCGAUGUGUGUGUGCCGCGGGGGCUCGGCGCAGGCUGGGCGGGGGGCGCCGUGUGCGUGCGUUCCUUCUCCAACCUUCCCGUCUGCGAGCCCCGCCGCCGCCGCCGCUCUCCUUCGCCCGGGCGGCUCGCACGCAGCGCACACCCCAAACAGGCAUCUGUAUGGGUUGCAACAAUGCUUGGGCCCUGGAGAUUUCAGGCUCAGAGUUAAAAUGUACGCUUGCUGCUCUACAGUAACUUUGGAACAGGACCCCAACAAAAAAAUGCAUAUCUGGAUGCUGCAGACGAUAGCGGUUGCUUUAACAUCGCUAGUCCUGUCGUGGGCAGAAAGCAUCGAGUAUUAUGGGGAAAUCUGCGAUAAGGCGUGUCCUUGCGAGGAAAAGGACAGCAUCUUAACGGUGAGCUGUGAAAACAGAGGGAUCAUCAGCCUUUUCGAGAUUAGCCCACCAAGAUUCCCUGUCUAUCACCUCUUGUUGUCUGGGAACCUUUUAAACAGACUCUACCCAAACCAGUUUGUUAAUUACACUGGGGCUUCGAUUUUGCAUUUAGGGAGCAAUGACAUACAAGACAUCGAAACGGGGGCCUUUCAUGGUCUGCGGGGCUUAAGGAGGCUGCACCUGAACAAUAACAAGCUGGAACUAUUAAGGGAUGACACUUUCCUUGGUCUGGAGAGUUUGGAGUAUCUACAAGUCGAUUAUAAUUACAUCAGCACUAUUGAACCCAAUGCUUUCAGCAAACUGCAUUUGCUGCAGGUGCUGAUCCUCAAUGAUAACCUCCUCUCCAGUUUGCCCAACAACCUUUUCCGUUUUGUGCCCUUAACUCACCUGGACUUGAGGGGUAACCGGCUGAAGCUGCUGCCCUACCUGGGCCUUUUGCAGCACAUGGAUAAAGUGGUGGAGCUGCAGCUAGAGGAGAACCCCUGGAAUUGUUCUUGCGAGUUGAUCGCUCUGAAGGAUUGGCUAGACAGUAUCUCCUACUCGGCUCUGGUGGGGGACGUGGUUUGUGAAACCCCUUUCCGCUUGCACGGCCGAGACUUGGAUGAGGUCUCCAAGCAGGAGCUUUGUCCUAGGAGACUCAUCUCGGAUUAUGAAAUGCGGCCGCAGACGCCUUUGAGCACCACAGGGUAUUUCCACACUACCCCAGCCUCGGUCAACUCCGUGGCCACUUCUUCCUCGGCUGUUUACAAAUCCCCCUUGAAGCCCCCUAAAGGGACCCGUCAACCCAACAAGACCAGGGUGCGCCCCACCUCCCGCCUGCCCUCCAAAGAUCUGGGAUACAGCAACUACGGUCCCAGCAUCGCCUACCAGACCAAAUCCCCGGUGCCUCUGGAGUGUCCCACCGCCUGCACUUGCAACCUGCAGAUCUCCGACCUGGGCCUCAAUGUCAAUUGCCAGGAGAGGAAGAUCGAAAGUAUCUCCGAGCUACAGCCCAAACCCUACAACCCCAAGAAGAUGUAUUUGACCGAGAACUACAUCGCCCUGGUACGCAGGGCGGAUUUCCUGGACGCCACCGGGCUGGAUUUGUUGCACCUGGGCAACAACCGGAUUUCGGUCAUUCAGGACCGGGCCUUUGGGGAUCUAACUAAUUUGAGAAGACUCUAUCUGAACGGGAACCGGAUCGAGCGGCUGAGCGCGGAGCUGUUCUACGGGCUGCAAAGCCUGCAGUACCUCUUCCUGCAGUACAACGUCAUCCGGGACAUCGAGGCGGGCACCUUUGAAUCAGUCCCCAACCUCCAGCUCUUGUUUUUGAACAACAACCUGCUGAGAUCUUUGCCCGCCAACAUUUUUUCCGGCCUGACUCUCUACAGGCUGAGCCUGAGGAGCAACCACUUCUCCUACCUGCCUGUGAGCGGGGUGCUGGACCAGCUGAAAUCCCUGCUGCAGAUCGACCUGCACGAGAACCCCUGGGAUUGCACCUGCGACGUGGUGGGCAUGAAGCUGUGGCUGGAGCAGCUCAACACCGGGGUGCUGGUGGACCAGGUCAUCUGCGAGUCCCCCAAGAAGUUCGGCCAGAGCGACAUGCGGACCAUCAGGUCGGAGCUGCUGUGCCCGGACUACUCCGACAUCAUCGUCUCCACCCCCACCCCCUCCUCCAUCCAGCUGCCGGGCGGGAGCACCCUUUUCUCCGCCACCGUGCGGCUCAACAGCACGGGCGAGGCGGGGGGCGCGGCGCCCCCGGGCGGCGGGGGCGGAUCCCCCUCGUCCUCGGUGCCGCUGUCGGUGCUGAUCCUGAGCCUGCUGCUGGUGUUCAUCAUGUCGGUGUUCGUGGCGGCGGGGCUCUUCGUGCUGGUGAUGAAGCGGCGGAAGAAGGGCCCGGGCGACCCGGCCAGCGCCAACAACUCCGACGUGAGCUCCUUCAACAUGCAGUACAGCGUCUACGGCAGCGGCCACCACCACCACCCGGCGCCGCAGCAGCCCCGCCACCCGCGCGGCGCCGGCGGCGGCCCGGUCCUGCCCAAGGUAAAGACCCCCGCCGGCCACGUGUACGAGUACAUCCCGCACCCGCUGGGCCACAUGUGCAAGAACCCCAUCUACCGCUCCCGGGAGGGCAACGCGGGCGAGGAUUACAAAGACCUGCACGAGCUCAAGGUCACCUACAGCAACCACCACUUGCAGCAAGGGCCUCCGCCCCCGCCGCCCCCGGGGGAGGGGGAGCCCCUGCGGAGCCCCACUUACAGCGUCAGCACCAUCGAGCCCCGGGACGAGCUGCUCUCCCCGGUGCAAGACGCCGAUCGCUUUUACAGGGGCAUUUUGGAGCCCGAUAAACACUCCUCCUCCUCGCUGGGCACCCCCGGCAAUAAUCUCCCCGAUUACCCCAAGUUCCCCGCCGCCUACACCUACUCCCCCAACUAUGACCUUAUGCGGCCCCAUCAGUACUUGCACCCCGGGGCGGGGGACAGCAGGCUCCGGGAGACGGUGCUCUACAGCCCCCCGAGUACUGUCUAUGUAGAGCCCAACAGGAACGAGUAUCUGGAGUUAAAAGCAAAACUAAACGCAGAGCCGGACUACCUCGAAGUGCUGGAAAAACAGACCACAUUUAGCCAGUUCUGAGACCCCCCCCCCCCCCCCAACAACCACAGCAACUCCUCCUCCUCCUUUAGAGUAUUUGUAUUUAACAACCACACACAAAACAAAGAAACACAAAUGCUGACCCCCCCCCCCCCCCCUUUCCCCUUUUAACUCAUUUUCUUGUAGGGUGAAGUGCCUUGGCACAGGAUUUUCAGCUUCGGGGAAUGAUACUGAAAGGGUGUGCUGUUUCAUUUUUAUUUUUACAAGUAGGAAACAAUCUAUUGUGUAAACUGGGCAUAACACUUGCCCUUGUGUGUUUGGGUGUCUGUGUGUUCGGGAGGGGGGAAAGAGGGUUUACUUAGGUCAGAUUGUGCAGGUUACAAGUACAAAAGUCAUGGUCACUUUCAUUUUGUUGGACAGACAUUGCUUAGUUUUAUUUUCUCUUUGGUUGAAGAGUGCAGCGCAUGUUUUCCCCUUUUAGCUCUGGGUGAGUCUAUAUGGCUUUUAAGGAGAGAUUUGCACACCCAAUUUAAUACAAGGUUUCCUUUUUUAAAGGAUGUGUUUGUAUGCUUUCUGGACUUUUGAAUUAAAAAAAAAAAUAUAUAUAUAUAUAUGAUCUUUAAAAAGAUCACCAGAGAUGUGGACAAAUCAUUAAAGAGGGCAGAGAUAUAUGAUCCAUAACUGGUUAGUGAAAAUAACUUAUUGAUGAACUAUACAAAUAUUUUAUUGUAGCACCUAUUUUUAUAUGUGCAUUAGCAUUUCUCUUUCCUUCACUAUUUUAGGGCCCAGUCUUGCAAAUACUUACAUACCCAAGUAACUCUAUUCAUGAAAGUAGUCUUGGCAUAGGCACCCAUCCUGCAAACACUUAGGCAAAUGAACAACUUUGCUCAGGUGUGUAGUCCCAUAGAUUUCAGUGAGUAAGUAAAGUUAGCCACAUGCCCAAAAGUUUGGAGGAUUGGGGCCAUAGUCAGUGCAACUGUUCUCAUAAGUAAAGUUACAUGGAAGUGUAAUUGUUUUUCAGGAUGGGGCCCAGAGUCUGUGAAUUGCUCAGAAGUGUUGCACUACAUGUAGAGCUUUAUUUCCAAAGCUGAAGUGGUAUCAGGAGGACAUUUUAAAUCACUAAAAUUAACAGUAAUUAUGACCAAAUCUUAAAAGACAAUCCAAGACAAGCAAUCUGGUCAGGAUAAAAUAAUACUGUAUUUAGAACCUCCUGCUAGGGCAACUAGUUGGACUAACUAGUGAGGGACAUGUGGAAAUGGUUGAUUUUAGCAGGAAAAUUGUUUCUUUUCAUUACUCAACCAAAAUAUAAUGAUUUGACUACUGUUGUAGCCAAUUUCUGAUUGUUUAGUCAAAUGCAAUUGCACUUGUACAGAUCCAUGUGUAUAUUGGCACUUCGAAAGACCAAAUGAUGGACUGUACAAAUCUCUAUAUAAUGUCUUUACCCUUUUGGGCAUCAGGCAAUGGAAAGGAUAUCCACAAAUACAGCAUCACUGUAAGAUGGGACAACUGGUGUCUCAUAUGUAUCCCAGCACAUGUAAUUUUUUAAAAUACUUUCUGAAUAAACACUUGAUAACUAUUUCAAAUGUAAGGACAUCAAGUAAUGAUUACCUGAAGUUCACAAUAUCUUGCCAAAAUCAUACUUUGGUAUGUGAAACUGCCUUUACUAGCAAUCAAGUCUGAACAGAAAGGAACUAACAGUAUAAUCUGAUGUGUUCUUCAGGUUAUUUUCAAAACACUAUAUUGUAAUUUAUCAAGGUACCUGACAUGGAUCAGAACUGGACAUUGCUAUGUGAAUCACCAACAUUCUUAAUAGUACAGUUUCGUAUUUACAUUUUUUUUCCUUUCUAAAGUUUUCAUUUACUAUAUGGAUCAGGUUGUAUGGAAUUAUGGUGGUGCCAGAUAAUGGUGUAGGUCAGACAAUAAUUAUUUAAUGACUGUAGACACUGAGAUUCAAAAAGUUAAAACUUUAUAACCAUUCAAAUACAAAUUGUCAACAUCAUGUGUCAAAAUAUACAAAGUAAAUUCCCUGAAGUCAAACUCUAUUAAGUUAUCAAACAACAUUUUUCUUAUGUUGUCUUCAUGUAAAUUUUGAUUAUCAUCAAUGGAAAUAUCUUUUAGUCAGUUUGUGUGUAUAUAGAGACAUCAACAUUUAGUGAUAUUUACCAAUAAAAAUCUAAUCCUUCCAAACCUUUGAAUAAGGACUGCAGGAUCUGAAUGAAGUUCAGUUAGAGAUGACAUUUUUCCAACUUUGGUGGCUGAAGAUAGGCUCCAAAAUCCACAUUUAGGCACCUAAAUAAGAAUGUCUGCUUGAUUUCUAAAGAUGAUGAAUAUCUGCAGCACCCAUGGAUUUCACUGCAAAAAUGACACAUUGGACUUUUACAAUUCAUUAAUUUUUAGUCAUCUCCGGUUAUUAUUAAUAACACAGAUAAAUGUGUUUGUAUAAAAAUAUGAUUUUUAAGUUGACAGCAUCCUUUAUACUUGACAGAAACAUCUACUUUGUAAGAGAGGUUUUCAUUUGUAAUGUAAAUCAAAAGUCUAGCUACUGUUAGUGCUUUUAAAACCUGGCCAUCUGGAGAGAAGGGGAGGAGGUUGUUUUGGCCUGUCUUAUCUUUGCAUAACUUUAUAAAAAUCCAUCCAGCCUCAUUUAAUACAUGAGUUUGAACAUCCUGUACUUUAAAGACUGGAAUUAUGGUGUCAUAAAAAAUCACACUGACAGGAAAAAUGUUCAUCAGAGGUAUUAAAAUUGCUACAGCAAACUGAAGUAUGAAAUUAAGAUGUGGUAUUCUAUGAAUACAACAUACAUUUUCAAGAGGGGUUUGUUGACAACUAAUUCAUAACAAUCUGUCUUGCAUACACAUAACACCUUUCAUCCCAAAGGAUUCUAAAUUGUCUUACAAAAUUUGUGCCUUCUCCUGUUUAUUGAAGUCAAUGGGAGCACUGCCUAUGGGAGCAAGACUUGGCACUUAAUAAGUUAAUAAAAAUUAUGCAUAAGGAUCACUUCACCUACCACUCAAAUGCUUAACAAUAUAUAGCAACACUAUUCAACAAUGUAGGAUAGAAAGUGAAUAUUAUUAUAUCCAGGUGAUAUUGCUUGAUGAAUUUAAGUAGGAAAAAUAUAAUUUAUUCAAAUAGGAAUAUGGAACAGAUAUUAGCUUUAAUAUCCCAGCUCUUGGUUAAGACUUUCAUUUUAGGAUUCACCCAACACAUGCUAUACUGUAGUAUUUUUACAUGUAUUGGAACUGUUAGCUACAGCAGUUUUAAUCAAUUUGGUGUCACUUUCAUUGUUCAUCUAAUAUGUUUUGGACUUUAAAGUGACAUACACCCAGUUUUUUGGCCUCAGGUUUACAUUUUUUGCUGCCAUGAAAGCUAAAUAAUUUCAAGUCUAUCUGAAGAAUGCUGGAAAAAUAUUUUCUAAUACAAUAAAACAAAAUUCUCCCAACGCUGCAUACUUUUUGACUGAUUACAUUUCUUUUGGUGCCUGAGGGACACUGAGUGUUCAAACUAGUGUUUGGCACAUGCAUAUAUAUUCCUGCAUUUUAUAUAUUAUGCUAUGGGUGCCAGAAGAGGCUUAGGGCAAGAUUUGCAUUUUUCAUGCUUCAGCUGCCAGUUGUAAGCAAGCCUAAUGCCAUCCAAUCUGAUUUUUUUUAGACUGUAGGUCCUUCUAUAUGAUCUCUUGUCACAAUUACAUGAAUACUAAAGGUGACCUGCAAAGGGUAGCACAAAAUUGCAAAAGGGCUUAUACCCUAUUUUGAAUCUUUAUGAUCCCUAAAGAAGGCCUGAAACGUUUUUGUUGGGAAAAAAGUCUCCUUUUUUGUUUGUUUUUGUUUUUUGUUAGGUUUAUUACCCAAGGAAGAUUUGACGGUGACAGGAGAAUAAGUGAAAUUAUAACAUCACAGCUGACAAAAGGUGAAACUUGUGCUGCUAAGGGAGGAAUAAUUUUGUAGUCAGACUUCGUAAAGUACUUUGGCUGCUCACGAAAGCUUAUGCUCAGAUAAAUUUGUUAGUCUCUAAGGUGCCACAAGUACUCCUUUUCUUUUUGCUUUCUUUUGUUAACGCUUAUUUACAUCUAAUGAUUAAUAUACAGUUUUGGAAGAAAAAGAUGUUUUUGUUAAAGCUACAGAAUGUGAUAGCUCACAAUAAACUGCUUUGAGAGUAAUUAGCCAUUGGAAUAAUUUUCUAGGAAUCUGCUGGAUUCUCCAUUAAAUGAAGUCUUUAAAUCAGGACUAGAUAUCUUUCUAAAAUAUAUGUGAUAGCUCAAACAGAAAAUUGUGGGUUUGAUACAGAGAUUAUUGGGUGAGAUCCUUUGGCCUGUGUUAUGCAGGAAGUCAGACUAGAUGAUCAUAAUGCUGUCUUCUGGCCUUAAAAUCUGAUUCUGUGAAAUCCCUAAGAUAUCCUCCAGUAAAGCUAUGAAAGGUAAAACUUGUCAUCCCUGAUCUUUCUAAGGUAAAAAAUGAGCAGAGGGAAAGAAAAAAAGGCACAAAUUCAAUUCUCAAAUAAUCAUUUGUAGGUCACCUUUAAUAAAUACAAAAGAAUUCCUGCUUGUAAUUGAACUGCCUUUGCUCUGCUGCAUCAGAAUGCAAGGCCCUAAAGUAGCUUCACAAAGGCAUACUGCACCCCCAGUGCAUCAUUGGAGCAAUGCUGUGUAGCAGCUGUCUUUGAAAGACGGUGUUAAUGGAGGCCGUCUUGUAGGCAAGUUGUUAGGUAUACAGACUAAACAUCUCCCCCUACUGGGACUAUAAUGUUCCACAGCCUGUAUUACAUCUGUGAAAAGACUGAAUCUGGGUUGAAUGGACAAGUGCUCCUGUUUUUUCACCAACUUUCCUGGUUAGGUCAAUCUUAUAGAAUCUGAUGAAAAUUUCUUUACAGUCUGUUUUUUUCAGAUAUAAUGUAGGACUUCUGAUUUUUGGUUUUAACCAAAUAAAACACUCCCCAUACCCCCCCCCCCACAUCAAUGUUUGUUCAGUAAGCCCCAGAAAAAGCACUGGAAAUGGUUGUUUAUAUCUAAGGGCUUGUCUACACAGAGCAGUACUGCGGACUACGGGGUCUGAUUUCUAAAGUGCAGUAAUGUGUUGUGCAUGAAUUGUUCAAUAUGGACCUUGCUGUUGCACACUAAAGGUUCCCUGGUGCACUUUAACACAGUGCUGUUUGAAACAGUACUAUGUGAAAGUGCACUGGGGAACAUUAAAAAGAAAUUACUCUUUAUGGUGUAUACAAAGAGAAAGCCCCCAAACCUCCUGAUUUUUGGACAUCUACAUAAAACUCAAAAUUGCUAACAAAUAACCCCCAAAAAUGAAAUUGAUAAAACCCCAAAACAGAAGCCCUAUAUAAUGCAUCAAAUCUACAAAAGGUACAGACAGUUGUGCAGAAAUAUCUAAGAUUAGGGACUGUAUGGUUUUCUUAUUUUCUUUCAAACAUGUUUACAAAACUCUAAAAAGUAUAUUAAGUUCAUAAAUAUACUUUAAAAAAUCCUGAUUAUUAUGUCAUGGACUUCCUUAAUAGAUUGUUGUUUGUAGCAUCUAUCAGAUGGCAAAGUCAGGUAUUGAAACAUCUUUUUUAUAAAAUGAGGAAACAAACAUUCAUUAAUUGAUGAUUCAGAACUGGUGGAAUUUAGCACUUGAGUCAAAAACAGGAUUAGGUUUUAACCUCAGGACAGAAUUACUUUAUGGGUAAUGGUAAUUGAAUCUUAUCUUUACAUUUCCUUUAGUUAUUUCUUACAUAAGGACUGAACUUGAACUUCUUAGGGAACACCCUUUUUGAAAUCAGAGGGAGUUCUGCCUGAGUAAGGAGUGCAAAUUUUACUCUUAAUCUUUAAAUAAUUUAAUUUAUAUAAUCCUGUGCAGCGUGUGCUAAUUAAAGGGCUGAGUGACUUAUGCAAUAUGAAACUGAUAUGUGCAACUGGUAUUACAAAACUAUUAUAUCUGAUUAGGGCCAAAUACUGCAGCCCUGGCUUAAGUGUGCCUUGCUCACACAUUAGGUUCUUCAGGCCUCUGCGUCAUAUUUGUUUACUCCACUAAUAAUUUUGUUGUAAGGUUUUUACUGCAUAGCACAUACUUUUUCUUUUCUAGAAACAUUUCUCCCUUUAGUUCCAUGAAUGAUUUGUUUGUCAUUAGCAUACAGGUGAACAUUUCAGAAAACAUGAAUUUCUGCAUUAUAAAGUGGCAUAGAAAUAACGCAUACUCAAUAUAGAAGAAGAUAAUAUUUCCUAAGAAAAAUUAUACAAUUAUAUGUUUUGAAUUUUUCCAGAUAUAUUUUUAAUUUAUAAAUAAAAAUCUUGCUACUAUGCAAAAUAUAAUGUUAUCUAAAAUAUAUAUUGCAUACUAGUUACCUGGCUUAUUUAAUUCAAAAACAUGGACAAAAAUUUCAUACUGUUGAUAAUUUUUUGACAACCAUAUUGCCUUUAAUGUAAAAAACUAAAGUUAGUAUAGUAGUGGACUUAAAAAAAAGUUAGAAACCAGCUACAUUGGGUUUAGUUUAAUUAUUUGCACAUUUUAUACUGUAAAAGCAUAAUUAGUGUACAGUAGUAGCCUGAGAAACUAUGAUAAAAUCCACAUUUUCAUACUGUAUUCACACAUUUUUCUCAUUAAUGUAAACUAUGAAACAAUCCAUUUUUGCCAAUGUAAUAUCUUAUUAAAGUUUCUACGUAUUUUUUAUUAAACUGAAAUUUAAAGGAUUAAUUCCUUUAAGAAUUGUUUUAUGUAUGGUAGAAAAAGCCAUAUUCAGGAACAUAGACUGUCAAGUGAUACUGUUUCUUUCAAUGGUUUCAAAUGGUUUGAUGUUAAAUAGCAUGUACAUUAAAGUGCAAUUCAGUAGCAAAAAUACGACUUUUCAAUUGCAUACAGAUUGCUCGUGUUUAGGGUCCAAGCACUUAAGCAUGUAAUUAACUACAUUACUGUAAGGCAUUCCUAUCAAUGUCGGUAACUCAUGGAAUUAAAGUUACUCACAUGUCUAUGGGUUUGUAGGUUUGGGCCAUGAGUAUCUGCGCACCUGAUCUGCAGGCAAAAUUUCUGCAGACUUCACUGGCCUCUUAACCUCACAGGAUUGAGUCAUAGACUUUUGCCUAACAAUUUGCUCUUAGAAUGAAAAAAAAACAAACAAUACAUUUUCCCAUUUUGUAAUAAUUUUCUUUAUAGAAGAAUAAAGUACAGAGAUCAAAUAACACUAACACAUCAUCUAUAUAGUGAGUUUACCGUACAGAAUAAU